CCUGAGGUCCCGUCCCCGCGGAGGGGGGCCGGGAGCUUUAGGUCCCAUCCGGUGCGGCGGGCAGGAUGCACCAGAAGCUGCUGCGGAGCGCGCACUACAUCGAGCUGGGGAGCUACCAGUAUUGGCCGGUGCUGGUGCCCCGUGGCAUACGCCUCUACACCUACGAGCAGAUCCCCGUCUUCCUGAAGGACAACCCCUACAUCACCGACGGCUACCGGGCCUACCUACCCUCCCGCCUCUGCCUCAAGAGUCUCUUCAUCCUCUCCAACGAGACCGUCAACAUCUGGAGCCACCUGCUCGGCUUUGUCCUUUUCUUCACGCUGGGAAUCUACGACCUGACGGCUGUGCUGCCGGCCGCUGGAGCCUCCCGGGAGGAUUUCGUCAUCUGCUCUGUCUGCCUCUUCUGCUUCCAGGUGUGCAUGCUCUGCUCAGUAGGAUAUCAUCUUUUCUGUUGUCACCGCUCAGAGAAGACCAGCCGGCGAUGGAUGGCAUUAGAUUAUGCAGGAAUUUCCGUCGGGAUCCUGGGCUGUUAUGUAUCAGGCGUCUUUUAUGCAUUUUACUGUAGUAAUUACUGGCGUCAGGUAUAUUUAAUCACUGUGCUGGCAAUGGUCUUGGCAGUGUUUUUUGCUCAGAUUCAUCCCAGUUACCUCACACAACAGUGGCACAGACUUCGCUCCAUCAUCUUCUGCUCUGUGUCUGGAUAUGGAAUCAUUCCCACCAUCCACUGGGUUUGGCUCAACGGCGGCAUUGGUGCAUCUGUUGUACAGGAGUUUGCUCCGCGUGUAGUUGUCAUGUACUUCAUCGCUGCUGUAGCUUUUCUCUUCUAUGUUUCCAAAGUUCCAGAAAGAUACUUCCCAGGCCAGCUGAACUACCUCGGCUCAAGUCACCAAGUGUGGCAUAUCCUUGCGGUGGUGAUGCUGUACUGGUGGCAUCAGUCCACAGUGUACAUCAUGCAAUACCGACACAGCCAGCCCUGUCCUGAGUAUAGCCCAGGCUUGUGAGUGAAGAUGAAAUUUCUGACUUUGAGGUCUGCACCUUACCUGCUGAGCUGUUACGAGGUGAAGCACUGAGGCAGUUCCUUUUCUGACUUCUGGACUGCUGCCUGGUUGCUGUUGGGUUAUGGUGACGCUUGAAAAAACGAACAGCGUGGCCUGGGAUCUGAGCUGCAUUUCCUUCCUGUUCUGCAUUCCAGUAUAAAAUAGGUCUUCCUGGAGUGUGACAAUGGAAAGAUGGGCUCCAAGCGAGUUCUAAGUGCACUAAUUACUACUGCUGAAGCCUGAGGAGGAACCGGCAAGUAGAAAAAACGAUUUCCAAUGUCAUGUGAAAAAAAAAAUAAAUUUUAAGAACGUGUUUGUGUAUUGAGAGCAUACUGACUUGAUAGUUCUAAGGUAUUUUUAUGUCAACUCUUACCUACUGUAGCAGUUUUCACUGGAUCAGGAAACUGACUGCCAAGAUAUACAUUUUUAUUACCCUGAACUUUAUCAAGCUGCAUGAUGGUCUUCUAUGUAUGUACUGAACCUGUAAAUAAAUUCCACUUCAUUGGCCAUUCCCUUGAAGUAACAUCAUUCUUGCAUCUCACACAGCAGAGCCACAGAUGCAAAUUGCUCAACCACACAACAUCUGUCACCUCCCCUGUGUUUUACAGACAGGUGGACCAGCUCUUGAAUUCCCACAGCAUGGAGGCACAGGGCGGGUGUUCCAACUGCACUACUCCAGCACUGCAUGUAGUGUAUUCUACUAGUGGUACAGUGUUUUGUAGGCAUUAGCAAGUAAUACUGAACCUAACGAAUUGCAACUAGAAUCUGAUCAACAGGUUUUUAACAAGGUGGACAGAGAAAGCUGGCUGGGCAGCGAACUAAAAAAAGUACCUUAAAACAUUUUUUGAAGAGUGACAGGAUCCUGCAGCUACAAAAAGCAGAAGAAGCAGCACCGCUUACAGCAAGUGAAUUACAGACUGAAGGUGAAUACUUCUAACGAGAUGUGAAAGUCACUGUUACCACAUUUGUUUAUUUGACAACUGCAAGUGUUUCAUGACAUACAUCAGUUGCACAAAAAAAGUUAAAAGUUCUCUGUUUAGUGGUACACAAAAAAGCUUCAGAAACUUGAAAUCUAACAAGAAGUGGAAGUGUAGUUCAGGAAAGUGCACUUAAAAGCUGAAUGCCAGCAAUUUAAAAACAGUUUUUAUGCUCUUUUCAUAUUAGGUGAUGCCUUAGUCACAAAUUGAGCUACACACGCAAUUUCUUUGCUUUUCCUUUUGAAAUAAGCACUACGGAGCAGUAAUGCAGCAGCCACCCUUCCGACUUCUUUUUCCUCUUGGUGCUUUCACUCCUGAUCACUCCCUCAAGUCACACAGAAGUGAUUGUGGCUGCUGUUACUAAAAACACAGCUACUUCAAGAGAUACAGGACGUGUGCGAAUAUGUGUAUGUUUUAUAUAUACUUUUCAUAUAUAAAAAUACACAAUAUAGUAUAAAAAAAACUCCAGAUAAACUCUUAUUCUCACAGUAGCAAAUAUAUCAACUUAUUUUCACAGUACUUGGUUUUUCUAAGUUUGAACACCCCGAAUAAUGAGAAUUUCCAUCCCCCCAACAUGGUAUUCAUGGUGAUGCGGGUCAGUCAAAGCCAUUGCACACAUCUGGCAGCAUGGGACAGUCUGCAGGGAAACACUACUACCUUUUCUUUCCAAAACCACAAUCAUUAAGGACUUCUUCGUAUCUUUCAAUCGAAUCUCUCUCAAGCAGCUGAUUCUAAAAGGCCUGGGGUUCAGUCAUUCAAUGUGCUGAAAGGAGAGCUAUAAAAAUCAGUAAGUGGUGUCAGCUGGAAGGGAAGGGUCAGCUACUUACCUUGCCAUUCUUGUCUUCACAGGUAUGUGAAGGCUUCAUAUGGUAUGUGUCUAGUGCAGCAAGGUCUUGCCUAUACUAAAGGUAAGGUCACAAGCACAGAAACAAAGGCUGAAGGAUAUUGUGUUCCCUGACAGGACCACAUUUGACCAGUGGAUCUUGGCUGAAAUUCAACCCAAACUUGGGUUUAGCUGUGUAUAAACAAUACAUACCCUACAAAAUCAACUUCGCCAGGUAUGUUGAUCUCUUUUCAGCCACAAGAAAGGAUACAGUAAUUUAAACU